GGGGAUAAAAGAGAAAAGAGUUUUAGAAAUCUAUAUACAAGUCAUCCACACCCCCCUUUUUUUAUUUCAUUAAUGAAAUUUCGUUUGUUGAUUCGAGCUAAGUUCCAUAAAAACACCAGCCCUUUUUGAAAUAUCCUGAACAGUUCCUGUAGGUUAAGCGCCUCGUUCAAGGAAAUAUAGAAUAACAUGAAUAUUUAAAUAGGUUUGAUUCUUUAUUGGAUCAUAAAAACCCACUUUCCGAAGAUCUCUUCCCUCUCUUCGAGAUCGAACAUCGAUUGCAACGAUUCGAUAAACGGCUCAUUGGGAUAGAGAUAGAUAAAUAAUGCACCCCCCUAGAAACGUAUAAGAACUUUUAUCCUUACGGCUCGAGAAAAUAAAAAAUUAUAAUGUAUGUAGAAAAUUAUGAUGUCAAAUAGAUCAAUAAAAUCAUCAAAUCAAUUAAACUAUGACUUAAGUAUUUUUCUUUCGUAUUUUCUUUUUGAAAAAAAACUCCUCAUAUUUAUAACUCCAUAACUCAAAUUGGAUAAUUAUCAAAUAACUAAAAAGAGAACAAAGCCUUUAGUAGCUAUUUCAUUUAUUGAGUGGUCUCUACUCCCCUUUCUUGCCCGUGUUUCGUUUCUUUAUAAUUUUUGAUAAUAGAAUUGAUGAGACAAUUUGAAAAUGGUAUUUACUUGUUCCAUGAUCUUUUAGCUUUUCUUUGAAUCAUUGGGUUUAGGCAUUACUUCGGGAAUCUUCAAUCUUUUCAAAAAUGGCAGCAACAUACCAUUUUUUCUUUCUAUGAAAGAAUCAUACAAAUAGAAGGUUAAUUCCUGCGGCUACACUUUUGAUCAAAACAGUUUUACUAAUUCCAACCAUUUUUUUGAACCUUGCUCAAAUUGGAUCCUUUCUAUUUUUCUAUCAAAAAUAAACUUACAAAGUUUUUCUAACUUAUUAAUUUUUACUAACCUUAGAUACUUGCCCCUGAUAAAUGAAUAAACUCGAGCUCCAUCAUGUACUAUUUACAUCAUCAACUUACAUCAUCAACUGCUUUCCUGUCCCCAAAACAAUAAGUUCUAGUGGAACAGAACAAAUGAUGUCGAGUCAAGAGCAUGUUCAUUUCUAUAUACUAGAAAAAAUGGCAGAUGUAAGAAUCCACAGCUAAUCUAAUCAUGUCUUUCAAGUCGCACGUUGCUUUUUACCACAUCGUUUCAAACGAAGUUUUACCAUAACAUUCCUUUAGCUUGGAUCCAGUAUGUAAUUGAUUCAAUUAUGGAAUCAUGAAUAGUCAUUGAUUCAAUUGAUACAUACUAAUCUAUCCUUUUUAGGUCAGGGUUUUUCUUCUAUAUAACGAAAACUUUUUUUAAAGUAAAGACGUAAAUGAAAAUUAACUCGGUAUUUUAUCAAUCUAUUUUCUACUCUCUUUUUAGAAUUUGUAAAGUAGAAAAAUGGGAAUUUAAAAAUAUUAGAAAAAAAGAAAAAAAUUAUAAAAUUGAAAAAAUUAUAAAAUUAUAAUAGAUAUAUAUAAUGAAAUGAUUACAUUAAAACAAUUUUUAUACAAAAAAGAAAGUAACAAAAACUCGACUUGUUUUUGAAUCCACAUAUUCGAAAGCAAGUCGAUUUAGAUUAGAGACGAAUAAUUCAAAAAGGGGGAUAAUUUUAAUUCUGAUAUACAAUUUGUAUUCCAAUAUGAUAUACAUCAUGAAUGGAUAUGCUCUGGGACGGAAGGAUUCGAACCUCCGAAUAGUGGGACCAAAACCCGUUGCCUUACCACUUGGUCACGCCCCAUUUUCGAUUUUAUACUAAUAAACACUAUUAUUUAUAUUGGUUGUUCGUCAAUUCCAGUUCAAAAAUUUCUAUAGAAAAAUUUGUUGCUAGUAUUUUUAUAUGUGUAUCUACAUAUCUAUCUAUAUCUAUCUAGAUAUAGAUAGGAUAAGACUCAAUUUAUUGAUCAUUACGUACAAUUCUAUUAAGAUAUUGUAUAGAAGUGUGAUUUAUUCAAUUUUUUUUAUUUCAGAAUAAAAAAAGAUUUUGAACUAGAUAAGUUCAAAUCAAAGAAGGAUUUUGGAGGGUUUUAUCUUAUUUUAUUCAUUUUUUUUAG
rnacentral:lncRNA from 1 species